rnacentral:lncRNA from 1 species
AUAGAAAUCACAAACAAUGUAAUCACUAAUUUAUCAUCUCUUGCAAAAAAAAACUAAUUUUUUUUAUUCAAAAAGAUGAAUAUUGUAAUUCUUUUGGAGGCAUUUAGGUGUCUGGUAAUCCGAAAAUACAAUAAGAACGAUACAAAAGGUGUCAAAAUUAUAAUUGAAAAUAUUUUGUGUUUGAGGUUGAUAUAUGCAAUUGCGGCUGAAUUAGAGAUUGAGGAAUUCUAUAUAAAUAACAUAAAUCCCAAGAUAUAUAUAACCUAAUGGGUGUAGAUUUUUAUGUUAAUGGAGAAAUUCCUCUAUUUUGUUACUAGUGCUAUCCAUGGCAAAGAAGAAAGGGGAAAAAAUCUGUCUGUUCAUUGUAAUGUAUGAUUUUUUUUGUGUGGAUAGCUUCUUCUUCUUGUAGUUUCUUCUUUAUUAAUGAUUGCUCACUCUCUCUAUUAUUAUUGUUAAUUGAAUUUUGAAGGAAGAAAAAAUGGUGUUCUAUUACUUUUAAUGGAGGAAGAAAAAAAUGUGUUAAUCCUUAAUUCUCCUUUGUUUUUCCUCUAUUUUCUAGUUUAUCUCCCAUUUAUUACUGUGUAUAUUCUCUCCUUAAUGAUUGUUUUCUUUUUCUUGACUUUAUUUAUGUAUAUUUAUAUCUUUAUUUUUUUAUUCUCGUUUUGUAAAAGGUGAAAAAAAAUUGUAGUCAGAGAUGUGUAUUUGCAAAAUUCAGCUAUGUAUAUAUUUGUCUGUUUUUUUUUUUCAACACACCAUUUGCAUAAUUAUUCAGGAACAAUUUUUAUUGUUGAAUAAUUUUUAUUUUGGGACAACAUAUACAUAUCAUCAGUAUAUGUUGAUAUAUAAAACAUAUGACAACGUUAAAAAUAUAGAGUUAUUAUGUAAAUGAAAACACAUAGAAAACAACUUAUGUAUUGUAAAUAUUUAUACCAAUAUAUACAUAAUCGAACUAUAUAUAUACAAACAUAUAUGUGUAGUAAAAAACUUCUAAAAUAUUAGAUAUACUAAUUAUAUUUAGUUUGUCUAUUUCAGCUAUGUCCUUCGAUGAUACACCGAUAUAUAAAAGACAACUGGAAAGCCUAGAAAAGGAAGAAAGAAGAAAUCAAGCGAAAGUCUUUCAUCAAGCACAAAUCGUUGUGGACGAUGCAGGAAUGAGGGUCACAAUAGGCG